rnacentral:rRNA from 1 species
AAUAGAUACCCAGGUAGUCCACCCCGUAAACGUUGGGAACUAGUUGUGGGGUCCUUUCCACGGAUUCCGUGACGCAGCUAACGCAUUAAGUUCCCCGCCUGGGGAGUACGGCCGCAAGGCUAAAACUCAAAGGAAUUGACGGGGACCCGCACAAGCGGCGGAGCAUGCGGAUUAAUUCGAUGCAACGCGAAGAACCUUACCAAGGCUUGACAUACACCAGAACACCCUAGAAAUAGGGGACUCUUUGGACACUGGUGAACAGGUGGUGCAUGGUUGUCGUCAGCUCGUGUCGUGAGACGUUGGGUUAAGUCCCGCAACGAGCGCAAUCCUCGUUCUAUGUUGCCAGCACGUAAUGGUGGGAACUCAUGGGAUACUGCCGGGGUCAACUCGGAGGAAGGUGGGGAUGACGUCAAAUCAUCAUGCCCCUUAUGUCUUGGGCUUCACGCAUGCUACAAUGGCCGGUACAAAGGGCUGCAAUACCGUGAGGUGGAGCGAAUCCCAAAAAGCCGGUCCCAGUUCGGAUUGAGGUCUGCAACUCGACCUCA